rnacentral:siRNA from 1 species
AACCCAAUGAGGUAAACCCAUAUG